rnacentral:rRNA from 1 species
UGCAAGUCGAGCGGAUGAAGGGAGCUUGCUCCUGGAUUCAGCGGCGGACGGGUGAGUAAUGCCUAGGAAUCUGCCUGGUAGUGGGGGAUAACGUCCGGAAACGGGCGCUAAUACCGCAUACGUCCUGAGGGAGAAAGUGGGGGAUCUUCGGACCUCACGCUAUCAGAUGAGCCUAGGUCGGAUUAGCUAGUUGGUGGGGUAAAGGCCUACCAAGGCGACGAUCCGUAACUGGUCUGAGAGGAUGAUCAGUCACACUGGAACUGAGACACGGUCCAGACUCCUACGGGAGGCAGCAGUGGGGAAUAUUGGACAAUGGGCGAAAGCCUGAUCCAGCCAUGCCGCGUGUGUGAAGAAGGUCUUCGGAUUGUAAAGCACUUUAAGUUGGGGAGGAAGGGCAGUAAGUUAAUACCUUGCUGUUUUGACGUUACCAACAGAAUAAGCACCGGCUAACUUCGUGCCAGCAGCCGCGGUAAUACGAAGGGUGCAAGCGUUAAUCGGAAUUACUGGGCGUAAAGCGCGCGU